CACGUAGGCGGCGUAGUAAGCGGAUUGUGAAAGCCCUCGGCUCAACCGAGGAAUUGCUGUCCGAACUGCUAUGCUUGAGGAUGGGAGGGGAGAGUGGAAUUCCUGGUGGAGCGGUGAAAUGCAUAGAUAUCAGGAGGAACGCCAGUGGCGAAAGCGACUCUCUGGCCCAUUUCUGACGCUGAGGUGCGAAAGCUAGGGUAGCGAACAGGAUUAGAUACCCUGGUAGUCC
rnacentral:rRNA from 1 species